rnacentral:SRP_RNA from 1 species
GCCGGGAGGAGUCGCGUCCACCUGUUACCGCGAGCGCGGGGUAGGACUUAAAUGCUUCGUAGCCGGUCGAUGUUCGUCCGCUGGAGCUGUCGAGUCGUCAGAUUGCUCUCACUGGAAGGAGAGAGUCGUCUGUGCGUGACAGUGGCGGUUACCGCUUCAGGAGGGUAACCUAACAGAGCGCCCGCCCACUCGACAGGGUCCGUGGACCGCGAACUGAGGCAUUGCGGUGUCUAAUUCCGAU